rnacentral:rRNA from 1 species
UAUGACUCUCGGCAAUGGAUAUCUUGGCUCUCGCAUCGAUGAAGAGCGCAGCGAAAUGCGAUACGUGGUGUGAAUUGCAGAAUCCCGCGAACCAUCGAAUUUUUGAACGCAAGUUGCGCCUGAGGCCAACUGGCCAAGGGCACGUCCGCCUGGGGGUCAAGC